CCUUCUUGUACUACUUUGGGGAAGGUACUAAUCAAAUUCUUUCCUUAAAUAUCCUCUACCUGUUUGAAAUCAAAUCCCUUAACUGAAGGGAAAUUCUAUGUGAUUGAUUACAAACUACUUUUUUGCCUUUCUUACUUGCUUCUCUGCACUAUAAAAGGGACUACCCUUCUGCACUUUUAGGAAACUUCGAGUGGAAUACCUCGAACUUUUUACUUUCAGCUUACACACCUACAAUACUGCUUUGAGUUCAAUACUCUAUCAACACUCUGCUUUUUUUAUAUCUUUUGGAACUGUUUGCUUACAAAUUGGCUAUUCAAGACUAUUGUUUUUACCUAUUUUCCCUGAAACUGGUAUGUCUAAUUUAAUUUUUUUCCCUCACCCCUAUGUGUUUACUUUAUAGUUCCAGCAUUCUUAUUUACUUUUCUUUUCAUGUUCAGUGAUUAAACUAUAUAUGUUCUUUCCUUGCAUCUGUUUCUAUUGUAAAUCCUUGCUCCCUAUUCCCCUAUAUGUGCCUGAGCUAAGGUUUUAGCCUGGCAGUAUCCAAAUUACUGCUAAGGUCUGAACUUGAUCUCCAAUGGAUCCUAACUCCUAAGAUUUGGCUAACAGGCUGGUCAGGGGUGUGCCAGCAUUCCUGAUUGUUGGGCUUGACCACUAGCCUACCCUGGCCUUUUUUAAUUCCCUCUAUGCACUUACACUUACUUUUAGACUCUUAAGUUAUGCCCCCUCCUAUGAGCCUUGCUUUGGGACCUCGAGUUCCCUCUAAACUUGGACAUUUGAGGGCUUGACAUUAUAUACUGCACUAUAAUCUCAUUCUCCAAUGUAUUCGGGUUGUAAGUACUACCCGGAGCCCCUUUGAGGUUCUUAUGGAACUUUGACAAAUCCCAAAUAAGAGAACGGUCUUGGGAAAGUGAUCUUGGAAGUUGGUUUAUCUCAUAUUAUUAGACCUUGAGUAUGAAUUAGGCUGUUUGGUUGUAGCUUGAAUUUCUGAUGUAAUUUUUUUAUCUUUCUUGAUUCAUUCGGG
rnacentral:lncRNA from 1 species